CCUACGGGAGGCAGCAGUGGGGGAUAUUGGACAAUGGGGGGAACCCUGAUCCAGCGACGCCGCGUGAGUGAAGAAGUAUUUCGGUAUGUAAAGCUCUGUCAGCAGGGAAGAAAGAAAUGACGGCACCUGACCAAGAAGCUCCGGCUAACUACGUGCCAGCAGCCGCGGAAAUACGUAGGGGGCAAGCGUUAUCCGGAAUUACUGGGUGUAAAGGGAGCGUAGACGGUUAAGUAAGUCUGGAGUGAAAGGCCGGGGCCCAACCCCGGGACUGCUCUGGAAACUAUUGAAAUUGAGUGCAGGAGAGGUAAGCGGAAUUCCUAGUGUAGCAGUGAAAUGCGUAGAUAUUAGGAGGAACACCAGUGGCGAAGGCGACUUACUGGACUGUAACUGACGUUGAGGCUCGAAAGCGUGGGGAGCAAACAGGAUUAGAUACCCGGGUAGUC
rnacentral:rRNA from 1 species